ACGCACGCUGGCGGCUGCUUAACACAUGCAAGUCGAACGGAGUGGCGAACGGGUGAGUAACGCGUGAGCAACCUGCCUAUGACAGUGGGAUAGCCUCGGGAAACCGGGAUUAAUACCGCAUAGUCAUAGAUGGGCUCGCGUCUGAGUAGCUAGUUGGUGAGAUAACAGCCCACCAAGGCGACGCUCAGUAGCCUGUCUGGGAGGAUGAAGGGCCACAUUGGAACUGAGACACGGUCCAAACUCCUACGGGAGGAAGAAGUGGGGAAUAUUGCACAAUGGGGGAAACCCUGAUGCAGCGACGCCGCGUGAACGAAGAAGGGAGUCGUAGCGUAAAGUUCUGUCCUAUGGUAAGCAGUACCAUCCAGGAACACACCGGCUAAAUACGUGCCAGCAGCCGCGGUAAUUC
rnacentral:rRNA from 1 species